CAACAAAUGUACCAUUCCUCAACAAUACUAGUGUUACCACUGAACAGUCUUCUAUGCAUUCAAGCAAGUGUUCUGAGCAACCUCGGACACACCUCUGAGUCUGAGACCAACCAGCUGACAGUCCCCCAAAGAUAAUGUCAGACAAAGCAUUGCCUGGGUUAGCGCUAAUAAUAGAGAUGAGUGAUGUAUUUUAUUAUGUAAACUGUAAACUCUUGAGUAUUUUUGACAGGAAAUUGCCAAAUUCAGAAACUAACAGAAGAAAACUGAAAAAUGAGAACUACAGAAAAGUAGGGAAGUAUUUGUCAUAUGCAAACCAGAAGAAAGAACAUGUAGAUAUGUUUUGAGCGUAUCUUUGGAAGUGUAUGCCAUGUACGCUGUCCAGCAACAAAUGGCAGAAAAAUGGUGACAUGAAAGAAAAAUUUAAAUGUCAGGGGUGAGGAUGUAGCUUAGUGGUAGAGCACAUGCUUAGCAUUCACAAGGACCUGGUUCAUGUAUACACACACACACACACACACUCAAAACCUCCCUUAAAAUAUUCAAAUGGCCAGUCAUGAUGGCACACUCCUCUAAUCCCAGCUACUUGGGAGACUGAGGCAAGAGGAUAGCAAGUUCAAGGCCAGUCUUGACAACUUAGCA
rnacentral:lncRNA from 1 species